CGUAGGUGAACCUCCGGAAGGAUCAUUA
rnacentral:ncRNA from 3 species